CAUGGAGAUAGGUUUCUUGAAAGGGCCUCUUACACACCAAGAGAAAAACAGAAGAAGAGAAAAUAAUUUAUGCUUAUACUGUGCUUCCCAGGACCAUACGGUCAGAGACUGUCCCUCUCUUCAAAGACAAAAAAAGGUGGGAUCUCCUACGCGUCAACGUUCCAGCAAUAAUUGACUCUGGUGCUACAGCAUGUUAUAUAGAUAAGAAUUUCACAGAAUUAAAUAAAAUACCACUUAUGCAGAAAAA